GGUCUGUUGUUCAUUGUUAUACACACAUUGCAAAUGUGCUUAUAAGGAGCUGGCACUUAGUCUGUGAAGGUCAAAAGCUUCAUCCGACAACGGAUCGGAUUGAUAUAUUGGAGCUAUUGACUUCACGUGCAGAGGGUUAAGUGCAUGCACGCUUACACACAUAAGCAUGGCAUAGGAUUGGAAUAAACAAAGUCAACAACAUUAGGUUAGGAGAGCCAGCGCAGGAGAGGUGUUGGCUUUCUGUCUCUUGCAGAGAAGGGAACAGACACCAGACGGGGACACGGAGAUAUGGGGACCCUGCACAGCAACUGGGGUCAAGUGUCAUGGCCUUGGGGCUCCUUGAGAAGAUGGAUCCCAUAACCACAGCGAUAACCAGGAAGGGGUUGGCGAAAACUAGGAACACCAGAGACCAACGAGAUCUGUGUAACGACUGAAGGGUGGUCUAACCCCGGAAGUCGAAGAAAGAAGAAUCCGAGGGCGUUUCUUCACUCCAAGAGGAGGUGGUAAAGGGGCCUGAAGCGUGACAGGCUGAAACUCGAGUCUGAAGCUAAAAGAACAGCUGGGUUGUGGGAUAAUUGGAAAACAACGGAGGUGUUGGGGUUGAUAAGUGUCAUACCGUGUUUGUUUGGUUUGGAGACAAAUCCUGGUGUAAGUUGGGCUGGCAAGCCAGCCCAAAGAGGAGGAAUGUGACCAGGAGAUAUUUUAUUUUGUAUUUUUAUGAUCACAGUUAUAAUUAGAAAUAUCAAUCAUUAAUCAUUUACCAUUGUGGAAUCUGAUGACAGUAUAAUCUUUGUUUUAUAUCUAUGGUAAUCUGAGUAAAGAUUAAUGUAUGCAGGUUAUCAUCAUUGUACUCAAGUCUCAAAUGGUAUCCACAGCAUUGUAUUCACCGUCCAUAACUGGAGGGUCUAGCAGGACCUUGUUCUAAUUCAUUUGCAGGCCUACAUCAGAACAUGCACAUAGAGAGUUAUGUAAACACGCACGUUCACCCUUAUUUACACAGGGAGGUCAUGUCAGGACAUUCUCUAGUUGGACACACAGGCUCACCGAACUGCACAACAUGACAUGUCACACACUUGGUUUUCUCUAAAGUAUCAUCUGAUGUUUGUAUAAGGAGAACUUUGGACUAUGGGGAGACUGUUAUCAUUUCCAGUAAGGUCUAACUGUGUGAUGUCAUCAUGGGUUACAUAAGGACGGGGAGCUGUCCACUCUUUGGAGAUCUGUGGCUGUACGCUUGUCUUCCCAUGCUUCUGUCUUAGAAGUGUGUAAUAAAAUCACUAUGUUUGUCACCUA